rnacentral:rRNA from 1 species
UACGUAGGGGGCUAGCGUUGUCCGGAAUCAUUGGGCGUAAAGCGCGUGUAGGCGGUCCGGUAAGUCCGCUGUGAAAGUCGGGGGCUCAACCCUCGGAUGCCGGUGGAUACUGUCGGGCUUGAGUACGGAAGAGGCGAGUGGAAUUCCUGGUGUAGCGGUGAAAUGCGUAGAGAUCCGGAGGAACACCAGAGGCGAAGGCGGCCUACUGGGCUGCACCUGACGCUGAGCCGCGAAAGCCAGGGGAGCGAACGGG